AGGGUACAAUAGGUAUUAAUACUUUAGGAAAAUAGGGCUUUGCCUUAAAGACUUUACAGUCUAAGAAGUAGUAGGUAGUGGGCAGAUACAAUCAGGAGGAGGUAAUUGAUUUAGAGAGCCGACUAGCAGCCUAUAUGGACUACAUAUAGGACAUCCUAAAGUGCCACCACAUAUAAGGUACAGGAUUGCCAUCUAGGGCCCAUUUUGCCAACCACAUACCACUGACAUGGUUGGCACUGAAAAUGUAGAAUGUAAAUAGAAAACAGGGCAAGAUCUCUCAAAGGGUCUACCCAAACCAGUUGAAAAAAUAAAGCAUUUAUAUAAAAGAGCCCCUAGCA